AAAGGGGUGCUAAUACCGGAUGAUGUCUUCGGACCAAAGAUGUAUCGCCUAUGGAUGGGCCCGCGUUGGAUUAGCUAGUUGGUGAGGUAAAGGCUCACCAAGGCGACGAUCCAUAGCUGGUCUUAGAGGAUGAUCAGCCACACUGGGACUGAGACACGGCCCAGACUCCUACGGGAGGCAGCAGUGGGGAAUAUUGGACAAUGGGCGAAAGCCUGAUCCAGCAAUGCCGCGUGAGUGAUGAAGGCCUUAGGGUCGUA
rnacentral:rRNA from 1 species